rnacentral:rRNA from 1 species
AACGGCCGUACCAUGCUGAAUAUACCGGUUCUCGUUAGAUCACCGAAGUUAAGCAUCAUUGGGCGCGGUCAGUACUUGGGUGGGUGACCACCUGGGAAACUACGUUG